rnacentral:rRNA from 1 species
CGUGUAGGUGGCUAAUUAAGUCAGGUGUGAAAUCCUUCCGCUUAACGGGAGAAGUGCACUUGAAACUGCUUAGCUAGAGUACGGGAGAGGAAGGUGGAAUUCCUGGUGUAGAGGUGAAAUUCAUAGAUAUCGGGAAGAACACCGGUGGCGAAGGCGGCCUUCUGGCCCGAUACUGACGCUGAGACGCGAAAGCGUGGGGAGCAAACA